rnacentral:rRNA from 1 species
CAGUAGCCGCGGUAAAACGAGGGGGGCAAGCGUUGUUCGGAAUUAUUGGGCGUAAAGGGCGCGUAGGCGGUUUGGCAAGUUUCGUGUGAAAACUUCGGGCUCAACCCGAAGCCUGCACGGAAAACUGCCGGGCUUGAGUAUGGGAGAGGUGAGUGGAAUUUCCGGUGUAGCGGUGAAAUGCGUAGAUAUCGGAAGGAACACCUGUGGCGAAAGCGGCUCACUGGACCAUAACUGACGCUGAGGCGCGAAAGCUAGGGGAGCAAACAGGAUUAGAUACCCCGGUAGUCCCUGUCUCUUAUAC